GGAGCUGACGGAGCAACGCCGCGUGAGUGAUGAAGGUCUUCGGAUCGUAAAACUCUGUUAUUAGGGAAGAACAAACGUGUAAGUAACUGUGCACGUCUUGACGGUACCUAAUCAGAAAGCCACGGCUAACUACGUGCCAGCAGCCGCGGUAAUACGUAGGUGGCAAGCGUUAUCCGGAAUUAUUGGGCGUAAAGCGCGCGUAGGCGGUUUUUUAAGUCUGAUGUGAAAGCCCACGGCUCAACCGUGGAGGGUCAUUGGAAACUGGAAAACUUGAGUGCAGAAGAGGAAAGUGGAAUUCCAUGUGUAGCGGUGAAAUGCGCAGAGAUAUGGAGGAACACCAGUGGCGAAGGCGACUUUCUGGUCUGUAACUGACGCUGAUGUGCGAAAGCGUGGGGAUCAAACAGGAUUAGAUACCCUGGUAGUCCACGCCGUAAACGAUGAGUGCUAAGUGUUAGGGGGUUUCCGCCCCUUAGUGCUGCAGCUAACGCAUUAAGCACUCCGCCUGGGGAGUACGACCGCAAGGUUGAAACUCAAAUGAAAUUGACGGA
rnacentral:rRNA from 1 species